UCGAGGCUUUUUCUUUGUCACUGUUCGCGUCUUCUCCUCUCGUUUCUUCCCUGACACCCCCAUUCUCCUCUCCUUGCGAUUCUUCUUCAAUCCGACGAUGACAACAUCUCCGACGGCUUUUGUGAAGGCGACCACCUAUCUUAGGGUUCUUUAACGGUGGAAGGGUUCUUCUUCGGUGGUGGAGAACCCUCUCAUCUCUCAAGAAGAAGCGGCGGCUUCAAGCUAGGGUUCCGACCGGAGUGGUUAGCUUCGGCAGGGCUCUUCAUCAGGAGGAAGACAUUCCUAUUCCAUCCCUUCCUCAAAGGGGAUCUCUUGCAAACGUGGCUGUGAAUGCAGAGGACUCCACAGAGGAAGUCCUCUGUCCUUUCUUUUUCUCCGAAGUGAAGUUGACCUCAUUGCUCUUCUUUUUCUUCGGUGGAAACCUUUCUGAAUCCAACACUGUGUUACUGUGGAGGUCUUCUUCUAUGGAUGGCAUUGCAAAAGCAGAAGACUCCUCAAUCUCAGUUUGUGUACCAAUUUCCAGUUGAUCAGAGGUUAGUCAUUGAGUUGCUGUUCACUUGGGCCGGUGGUUCUAAAUCCGUGUCCUUUGUAUGACGGUAGAGGGUAGUUAUAUUGGUGUUUGAUCACGGAAGAGUGAUUUGGAUAGUUUAGUUUACUUUCUUGUUAAGUGUUUUUGUUUAGUUGUUAGUUUACUUUUGUGUUUGAUCUAUAGUUAUGUUAUGAUGCAUGAUAGAUUGUUUGUUAUUGCACUUUGUUAGUUUCAUUUAUAUAUGAUUGUUGAUCUUGUAUCAUAGAGUGACAAUGUGGUACAAGUUUAGUUUUAAUGCAUAAUUAGAUUUUGUUUAA